rnacentral:rRNA from 1 species
GACGAACGCUGGCGGCGUGCCUAAUACAUGCAAGUAGAACGCUGAAGGAGGAGCUUGCUCUUCUGGAUGAGUUGCGAACGGGUGAGUAACGCGUAGGUAACCUGCCUGGUAGCGGGGGAUAACUAUUGGAAACGAUAGCUAAUACCGCAUAACAGUAGAUGUUGCAUGACAUUUACUUAAAAGGUGCAAUUGCAUCACUACCAGAUGGACCUGCGUUGUAUUAGCUAGUUGGUGGGGUAACGGCUCACCAAGGCGACGAUACAUAGCCGACCUGAGAGGGUGAUCGGCCACACUGGGGCUGAGACACGGCCCAGACUCCUACGGGAGGCAGCAGUAGGGAAUCUUCGGCAAUGGACGGAAGUCUGACCGAGCAACGCCGCGUGAGUGAAGAAGGUUUUCGGAUCGUAAAGCUCUGUUGUAAGAGAAGAACGAGUGUGAGAGUGGAAAGUUCACACUGUGACGGUAUCUUACCAGAAAGGGACGGCUAACUACGUG